rnacentral:lncRNA from 1 species
CACACCCCAGACUUACCCAGUCUGAAACUCCAAACUCCAGGUUCCAGGUGUGGGAUCAGUAACCUGUGGUUUAACAAGCCCUUCAUUGUGUAUGAUGCGUGCUGAAGGCGGAGAGCCCACUUGCUUGAUCUUCAGGGCAGGUCUGCUGGCUACCAGAAGGCUCAUACAAUCAGGCGAUUUUACAGAUGAGACAGUAGAGGCCUAAAACAGUGUGUCCUGCUAAAGGCUCCACAGCUGUGCCAUAGAAAAGUCGUCCAGUUUUCUUUGGAAAACUUUUUUUUUUUGGUACCGGGGAUCAAACUCGGGUCCUUCCGCUUGCGAGGCAGGUGGCGGAACCACUGAGCUCGUCCGGUUUUCUUUUCAUUCUUAACAAUUAUUUACUGAGUGCCUGGUGGUGCCAGGUGCCAUCUAUCUACUUGCCAGAGAAACUUGGGGAUAGCAUGACUUCUCUUGCCUUCCUGGGGCUGACAGUGAAAGAGACAGGCUGAGAAUACACAAUCAAGUAAAUAACUUGGAAUGGUGCUGAGUGCUACGAAGAUAACAAGAGGACAUAAAUCCAGACUCUGCAUCAGGUGACAAACAUGACCGUGGCCAUCCUUCCCACCCAAACACAAACAUGGCCAUCUUUUCCAAAAUUGUAGAACAAAUUAAGUUUGUAAA